rnacentral:siRNA from 1 species
UUAGUGACUUCUGAUUUCAUCUCA